rnacentral:rRNA from 1 species
AGUGAACGCUGGCGGCGUGCCUAAUACAUGCAAGUCGAACGGAGUGGCGCACGGGUGAGUAAUGUAUAGCUAAUCUGCCCUACACUAGAGGACAACAGUUGGAAACGACUGCUAAUACUCUAUAGUGUAGGAUGAGGCUAUAUUGUAUCAGCUAGUUGGUGAGGUAAUGGCUCACCAAGGCUAUGACGCAUAACUGUGCUGAGAGGAUGAUCAGUCACGCUGUAAGUGAGACACGGUUGAGAAUCCUACGGGAGGCGGCAGUAGGGGAUAAUGCUCAAUGGGGGAGACCCUGAAGCAGCAACGCCGCGUGGAGGAUGACACUUUUCGGAGCGUAAACUCCUUUUGUUAGGCAAGCGGUACCUAACGAAUAAGCACCGGCUAACUCCGUGCCAGCAGCCGCGGUAAUAC